GGGGGUGUGGCUCAGUGGCAGAGCACUUGCCUAACAUGUAUAAGGCCCUGGGUUCCAUUCCAGUACUGCCC
rnacentral:tRNA from 1 species